rnacentral:lncRNA from 1 species
AAAAUAUCAAAUGAUGAAACAAAAAAAAUUAAAAAUCAGAAAUAGAAACUAGAAUUUAUUUGGGAAAUAAUGCAAUUGGUCCCAUAAUUUUUGGAUUAAAAAUGAGAGAGAUAUUGAGUUUUGAAAUAAAAGGGAAUAAACAAAAUAAAAACAGAAAUUGAAAUAAUGUGAAAAAUCAGGGAUCGUUGGAUGCGUUUCAUUAAUUGACGUGGGACAUCAAAUGGUACAGAGGCGCGCGCUCACCAUGAGUCCAGGUCAAUGCGUGCACACGUGAAGAAAUUAAAAGUCAUAACAAGCAACGCUCCUGAUUGCAUCUAGAAAUCAGAUCAAGCGGUCCAGAUUCAAACUGGACACGAUGAAGCCACCAGAAACUUCAUCUUCUCCGGUGAGCUUCCCAGAUUCCAGCCAUGUUCAAAAAAAU